AAUAUUGGGCAAUGGAGGCAACUCUGACCCAGCCAUGCCGCGUGAAGGAAGAAUGUCCUACGGAUUGUAAACUUCUUUUAUUUGGGAAGAAACUUCUCUACGUGUAGAGAACUGACGGUACCAAACGAAUAAGGACCGGCUAACUCCGUGCCAGCAGCCGCGGUAAUACGGAGGGUCCAAGCGUUAUCCGGAAUCAUUGGGUUUAAAGGGUUCGCAGGCGGUCUAUUAAGUCAGUGGUGAAAUCUCUCGGCUCAACCGAGAAACUGCCAUUGAUACUGAUAGACUUGAAUAUAGUUGGAGUAGGCGGAAUGUGUAGUGUAGCGGUGAAAUGCUUAGAUAUUACACAGAACACCGAUAGCGAAGGCAGCUUACUAAACUAUAAUUGACGCUCAUGAACGAAAGCGUGGGGAGCGAACAGGAUUAGAUACCCUGGUAGUCCACGCCGUA
rnacentral:rRNA from 1 species